ACACUUUGGAGAACGACAGGGAGAGGAAGAGAGAAACUGGAGAAACUUUCUGCGACACUUCCGGUUGAAGCUUCCGGUAAUCACGCCCAGGUGUGUUCAGGUGUUCUCAGGUGUGUAUAUCAUUGUUUCGAGCAGGUAAGCGGUGCGGACCGCGGGCAGCCUGGCUGUGGAUCAAAGCGGUGGAAGAAGAAGGAGCCGGGGAAGGAGAGAUGAAGUCUAGAUACUCAGAACUCUGUCGACGUCUUCCUGCUCAGAGCUGCUGGUUGAGUGUGUGAAGAACAAGGACUUAAAGAAGG